AGAGUUUGAUCCUGGCUCAGGGUUAACGCUGGCGGCGUGCCUAACACAUGCAAGUCGAACGGUUCUAAGCGCGAGCUUAGGAUAGUGGCGAACGGGUGAGUAAAAGGUAGGAAUCUACCCCUUGGACGGAGAUAGCUACUGGAAACGGUAGGUAAACUUCGAUAAGCCCGANAGGGGAAAGUGGUGAGACAGCCGAGGGAUGAGCCUACUCUCCAUCAGGUAGUUGGUGAGAUAAAAGCUUACCAAGCCGAUGACGGAUAACCGGUGUGAGAGCAUGAACGGUCACAAGGGCACUGAGAGACGGGCCCUACUCCUACGGGAGGCAACAGUGGGGAAUCUUGGACAAUGGGCGAAAGCCUGAUCCAGCGACGCCGCGUGGAGGAAGAAGUCCUUCGGGAUGUAAACUUCUGAACUAGCCGAAUAAAAGGCCUGUGGACACACAGGAGAAGAAAGUAGGCUAGGAAAAGUCCCGGCCAACUACGUGCCAGCAGCCGCGGUAAGACGUAGGGGGCAAGCGUUACCCGGAAUUACUGGGCGUAAAGGGGGCGUAGGCGGUAAAAGAAGUCAUCNGNGAAAACNUAUUGCUCAACGAUAGGCUAGCGGAUGAAACNGAAUUACUUGAGGGCACCAGAGGUNGACGGAAUUACCCGAGUAGGGGUGAAAUCCGCAGAUACGGGUAGGAACGCCGGNGGAGAAGUCGNUNUACUGGGGUGCACCAGACGCUGAGGCCCGAAAGCUAGGGGAGCAAACCGGAUNAGAUACCCGGGUANUCCUAGANUCCCGCGGCCANGGCGGCC
rnacentral:rRNA from 1 species